rnacentral:rRNA from 1 species
GUAGGGUGCGAGCGUUAAUCGGAAUUACUGGGCGUAAAGCGUGCGCAGGCGGCGGCACAAGUCAGGUGUGAAAUCCCCGGGCUUAACCUGGGAAUUGCGCUUGAAACUAGGUCGCUAGAGUGUGGCAGAGGGGGGUGGAAUUCCACGUGUAGCAGUGAAAUGCGUAGAGAUGUGGAGGAACACCGAUGGCGAAGGCAGCCCCCUGGGUCAACACUGACGCUCAGGCACGAAAGCGUGGGGAGCAAACAGGAUUAGAUACCCUGGUAGUCCACGCCCUAAACGAUGUCGACUAGGUGUUGGGGAAGGAGACUUCCUUAGUACCGCAGCUAACGCGUGAAGUCGACCGCCUGGGGAGUACGGUCGCAAGAUUA